rnacentral:lncRNA from 1 species
ACCCUAGGUCGUGACCCUAACCCCCCAGGGGGCCCCCUUUAAGGAGCCCGCGCGCCGGGAGGACCCCGCGCUCACCAGGUGUGACUGCUCGGCUGACAGCGGGGGAAACCGAGGCCCGCGGGGGGAAGAGACCUGUAGGAGGUCCCGCGGGGAAUCAGACUGCGGGUGCCGUCUAGGGCCGGGUCCUCCUGGCCGGGCUCUCGCUCCGACCCUCUGAGGGCCCCCGCGAGGUGCUUCCUUUAGGAAAUUCCCGGCCGCGGGCCUCCGCGCACUUCGCGCUCCGUGCGGCACAUCGUACACGUCCUCCGCGGCGCCGCCGCGCCCCGAGAGAGGUGAGAGCGGAGAGGACCAGCGCCGUCCGCCUCCGAGAGCUAACUUGGGGCGCGGGUCCGGCGCGGGAGGCGGAGGGCCCGGCGGGAACGCGCUGGCCCUUUAAGGGGGGGACGGGGCGCAUGCGCGGCGCGGGCCGGAGUCGGGGCCGGUGGGCGGCGGGCGGCCGGCGGGCGGGCAGGGGACGCGCGCGCUCGGCGGCAGCUGGGCCCGGGGGCGGCGGGGGCGGCGGCGACCGAGCCUCGCGGAGCAGCGGAGCCGCGACCUGCGCGUGGGCCCGGCGCUCGGGGGCUGCUCUCCCGGGACUAGCUCGGCGCGCGCUCGCCGAGGCCCCGCCGCUCGCUGCAGCUCCCUCCGCGGGCCGUGGCUGCGCGAGCCCCGAGCCCUCCGGCCGCCGGUCCUUCGUCCCGCCCGGGCCGGGCAGCGGGGAGCGCCAGCGGAGCGCCGCGGAGCAUCCUUCGCCCGGCCCGGAUGCCGCAGCCCCUGGGGGCCGCGACCGCGCAGCCGGAGCCCGCCGCCCGGUGACCCCGGCCCGGCCCCGCCGAGCCCCGCCGAGCCCCGCGCCCCGCGCCCCGCGAUGGCUCGGCUGGCGCUGCGCGGUGCCGGGUGCCCGCCGUCCGCCCGCUGAGCCGCGCCCCGCCCCGCCCCGCCGCGCCCCGCCGCGCCCUGCACCCCGCGGGGAGCUGCGCGGCCGCUGCCCGGGGCCGAGGGCGCGGGGGCCGAGACAAAGCCCGGCGUGCGGGGCCCGGCCGCGGGCGUGGAAUGAGCGCCCCCUCCCCGCGCCCCGCGGCCGGCGCGCCUCGGCUCCCGGGCUGGUCGCGCCCCGCGCCACCCUCCGCGGCGGGGGUCCCGGCCCCGAGCUGAGGCGCGCGGUCGCCCCGGAGCCCCCCGGAGCCCCCCGGAGCCCCCGGAGCGCGCGCUGCUGGGAGGGAGCGCGCCGUAUUUUGGAGACGAAUCUAUUCUCUCCAGAACGGGGACUUGGGGCGCCCGCUCGGCCUGGGCGCCGGUGCCUUGAGCCUCUGUGGCCACAGGUCGGAGCUGUCUGGCCUCAGUUUCCCUUAGACUUCUCUCCGGUCCGCAAGCCCAGGCUGCUGCCCGGCAUUGUUCUCGCUGUCAAAUCGGGGAGCGUGGUGAAGGCUGCCAGCUCGGGGUAUUUUAUUGUACAGGAGCCACGCCCUGGUUUCUUAAAGGCGCCUCGCACUCUGUUUGGCCAUGUGUUAUCUCUGCAGCUGGUGUGUGGGAGGCCUCCAGUGAGCCACCUAUUUUUUCCUGCCUCCUGA